UGGCUCAGGCCCGUUACUCCCUGGGCUGUCACCGCGUCUCGUCCCUGCAGUACGGGGCCACCAUGGUGCCCCGAGUCCGUGUGUGCCACAGGACCCAGAGGGACGCCCCCACUUUGAGGAGGUGCCGGGAACUGGGGGGGACCCCGAGGACCCCGACCCCCAGCAGGGGGAGGGUGACGGGCUGCGGCAGCGCCGGGGAGCCCCUGAGAAAGGGGGGGCCCCCAGCCGGCCCCCCCCCAGACCCCCUGGGCUGGUUUGGGGUCCUGGUGCCCCCCACUCUGCGGCAGGCCCAGGGCAGCUUCCAGAGGGGGGUGACGCUGGCCGUGGAGGUGGCCGAGCUCCAGGCCACCGUGGAAGCUGCGGCCGCCCGGUACCGGCAACUCCUGCGGCAGAAACGUCACCCGGCCGGGGACAGCGGGGACAGCCAGAGCCCCACGGGAACCCCUGGGGACAGCAAGGACACCGAGGGUGACACAGUGACCCCGGUGACUGCGUGAACGGACACCGAGAACGACGAGGACACGUCUGCAGGUGACCACCAGUGACACAGAGGACAGCAGCACCUGCCUGUGGGUGACACUGAGAACUCUGCAGGUGACACCGAGCCCCUCACGUGACUAAGAAGGGUCCCCCCCAUGUCCCCAUCUCCAAUAAAGCCACCCUGGUGUCACCA
rnacentral:lncRNA from 1 species